CUAACCAUAUAGGAGCAUAACUUUAAACGGGGCACAACACAUAUUCUACAUUCUAUGGCCACAACAUGAUCUGUUUCCACCAUAGAUGUACGUCAGAUGAGUAGAAUCUUGAACUCUUGAACGGGAGCCAGCCCCUGCGUUUAUUUCAGGCGCAGUCAUGACAGAAACCCACAUGCGCCGAUUCAUUCACCUAGUUUCGUUUUCGAUUGGAUUACGUGUUACAGCUCUCUCUUCGCAUUUCCCUUAACUUCGUGGUUAUGGCUGAUAUUGAGUUGGAAUUGACUUGUAACAUAUGUUUGGAUCUUUUAACCGAACCUCACCAAUAUCCUUGUGGACACAGUUUCUGUCUUCAGUGUAUAGAUCAGCUAUGGAGUCGGCAAUCAUUUAACUGCCCAGACUGUCGAAGAACCUGUCCAGAUAGAAGAGAGAUUGUGAGAAACUUCAGACUCCAGAAUAUUGUAGAAGCAUAUCGACAAAAUGGAAAUACCCUGAACAUACGCCAACCUUUAACAGCAGGAGUGCAGCCAGGAAGACAAGACUAUUAUGGGACUCUUCUAGUCAUUUUACUGCUGCUGUUCAUUUCUGUGUUCUCUUUGUUGCGGCUACAAAACACAGACCAGAUCCCUCAAGACUCUCAGUCUUUGUCAGACUCGUCUCAACCUGAACAUGCAGACCAGUUUCAGGCAGCUGACCCUCCAGGACUUCUGUUCCUUCUCCUGGCCCCUGUACGAUGGCUCUGGCUGCUGGUGGAGUGUGUGUUCAUGUGUGUGUGGUGGCUCAUCUCCUCUCUCCUAUGGCUGGUUUACCAGUGUGUGUGGUUGGUGUUUGAGUUGGUUAGACUUGUGUUUGUGAGUAUUUGGGAGCUUUUUUGUUUGGUUUGUGGGCUCCUGAUCCAGUCCUUUAACAUUGCUGUCUACAUUUGUGGAGUUGCAUCGAUAACAGUAUUUAUUACGAGCGUUCUGAUGUUCAGAAAUGAUUAGGGAAAACAGAAACCAGUCCUUUAACAUUGUUGUCUACAUUUGUGGAGUUGCAUCGAUAACAGUAUUUAUUACGAGCGUUCUGAUGUUCAGAAAUGAUUAGGGAGAACAGAAACCAGGAAGUAUGAUUCAUUAUCCUCUUGUGCCCUCUUAAGAGUAGGAUGGACUGUGGAGUCAGAUGAACCAGUUCAUUAAUGGUUAAGGUCAUAAUGCUGCUGGGAAAGACAGUUUUGUUCUAUCAGUUUAAAUCUAACCAGUUUAAAUCUAUCAGUUUAAAUCUAACCAGUGCCUUUUGUGCAACUCUUAUGGGAGAAACAUUUAAAAGACAGACAGGGAUCCAAUUGCCCUUUCUUUCUCCUCUCCAAACAUCCUCCCACUGUGUCUGUGUCUGUGUCUGUGUCUGUGUCUG